rnacentral:rRNA from 1 species
GUGGGGAAUAUUGGACAAUGGGCGAAAGCCUGAUCCAGCCAUGCCGCGUGUGUGAAGAAGGUCUUCGGAUUGUAAAGCACUUUAAGUUGGGAGGAAGGGCAGUAAGUUAAUACCUUGCUGUUUUGACGUUACCGACAGAAUAAGCACCGGCUAACUUCGUGCCAGCAGCCGCGGUAAUACGAAGGGUGCAAGCGUUAAUCGGAAUUACUGGGCGUAAAGCGCGCGUCGGUGGUUUUGUAAGUUGGAGGUGAAAUCCCCGGGCUCAACCUGGGAACUGCCUCCAAAACUGCAUGACUAGAGUACGGUAGAGGGUAGUGGAAUUUCCUGUGUAGCGGUGAAAUGCGUAGAUAUAGGAAGGAACACCAGUGGCGAAGGCGACUACCUGGACUGAUACUGACACUGAGGUGCGAAAGCGUGGGGAGCAAACAGGAUUAGAAACCCGAGUAGUCC